GUUUACUUUCACUUUCGAUUUACCACUUCCGGGUACAUCGGCAGACUUAUUUACCGUUACGCAUAUAGGUAACCCGAAGAACUCGAGAGAUAUAGAAGUUCAAUUUGUUUCGCUCCUCUUCAGAUUUGAAGGAAUGGAAAGCACGGGUCAAAAAAUGCAGAUGUGUAGACAGGGAAGUAUAUGACAAGUAUAGAAUAAACAGUUGUUCACUAUGGACCAUUAAUCAACUGUUUGCACUGCCUAUGAUCCUGAAAUAUCUAUACAUCAAAGAUAAAAAGGAAAAAGAUGAAGGAGAAUUUGUCCAUGAAGACCUUUAUUGCAACUACCAUCUUCCAGUUCCUUAAUUUGAGAAUGAUAUCAGAGAACACACAGUUACAGUGAAAUAUAUGUUUAAUAUAAAACACUGAGAAUAGUCAAAUGUACUUUCCUGAAGAAGAUGAAUGACACCCAGCACAAAAAUCUUAAUGUAAAAGAGUAUGAUUUUAUGGUGUUUGACACUAUGAGUCCUUAAUCUAGUUAACUUGUUAAUGUCACAAUGAUAGAAA